GGUAUCUCCGUGCCAGAGGCCGGGUUAUGAGGUACGGUGCGGGGGUUGAUCGGAAUGACGGGUCGUAUAGCGUGCGCAGGCGGGUUUGUAAGUCAGGCGUGAAAUCCCCGUGCGUAACCUGGGAACUGCGUUGGUGACGGCCAGGCUAGAGUACGGCAGAGGGGGGUGGAAUUCCACGUGUAGCAGUGAAAUGCGUAGAGAUGUGGAGGAACACCAAUGGCGAAGGCAGCCCCCUGGGUCGAUACUGACGCUCAUGCACGAAAGCGUGGGGAUCAAACAGGAUUAGAUACCCGUGUAGUC
rnacentral:rRNA from 1 species